GAUCAAAGUGUAGUAUCUGUUCUUAUCAGCUUAAUAUCUGAUACGAUGUGCAUUGCACAUCCAGAAUAUUAAACUGAUUUUUGGAUUUUGGCGGAGUGUUAGGGGCUUGCUCCACCUCUGCCGCGGGUUGGC
rnacentral:snRNA from 1 species